rnacentral:rRNA from 1 species
CAGCAUGCCGCGUGUGUGAGAAGGCCUUCGGGUUGUAAAGCACUGUUUGUCCGGAAAGAAAUGGCUCUGGUUAAUACCCGGGGUCGAUGACGGUACCGGAAGAAUAAGCACCGGCUAACUACGUGCCAGCAGCCGCGGUAAUACGUAGGGUGCGAGCGUUAAUCGGAAUUACUGGGCGUAAAGCGUGCGCAGGCGGUUUUGUAAGACAGGCGUGAAAUCCCCGAGCUCAACUUGGGAAUGGCGCUUGUGACUGCAAGGCUAGAGUAUGUCAGAGGGGGGUAGAAUUCCACGUGUAGCAGUGAAAUGCGUAGAGAUGUGGAGGAAUACCGAUGGCGAAGGCAGCCCCCUGGGACGUCACUGACGCUCAUGCACGAAAGCGUGGGGAGCAAACAGGAUUAGAUACCCUGGUAGUCCACGCCCUAAACGAUGUCAACUAGUUGUUGGGGAUUCAUUUCUUCAGUAACGUAGCUAACGCGUGAAGUUGACCGCCUGGGGAGUACGGUCGCAAGAUUAAAACUCAAAGGAAUUGACGGGGACCCGCACAAGCGGUGGAUGAUGUGGAUUAAUUCGAUGCAACGCGAAAAACCUUACCUACCCUUGACAUGCCACUAACGACGCAGAGAUGCAUUAGGUGCCCGAAAGGGAAAGUGGACACAGGUGCUGCAUGGCUGUCAUCAGCUCGUGCCCGUGAGA